GUGGGUAUAGCUCAGUGGUAGAGUGUGUGCUUAGCAUAUACAGGGUUCUGGGUUCAAUCCCUAGCACCUCCA
rnacentral:tRNA from 1 species